GAAUCAAACAAUACGGCCUGGGUGGUAUUUAUGGAGCAUCUGCUGUAUAUCCUGGGCAGUGUUCUGGGCCACGAGAAUGAAGUCAUCAACAGGUCGUUGUCCUUAUAAGAAGGACAACCCUGUGGGGAUUCUACAACUCAUUCUUCAGACAAACCUUCUGGAAGCCUACCUACUUUUAUUCUGGUGUUUGCCCUGGUAGCAAUUUAACUGUCACUUUAAGAAGACGCGAAUGGGGUUGGUGUCUCUGGCUUUUGAGACUUCAGGGCACCCCUUUCUUGGAGAGAAAGAUACUCCUUUAUCAGGCCAGAGAGCUGAAGACCUGUUGGGCUUGGGGCCACUCCCUUUAAUAAAGAAACCCACAUCCUA
ensembl:lncRNA novel transcript